UAGGGAUUACGUGAGAUAAUAUGGUCUGUGUGCUGAUUCACUCAUUUAGUGUGGUCUCAUUUCCUUAAAGAACACAUCUUGAGAGAACACUUUUUUUCUCUCUAACCCUCAGGGUCAUCUGGAUGAAAUGAAUACUUUUAGGGCAAAAUGGCUGAUACUGCUUCCUUGAUAACCACAUAUAGAAAACUGACAACUGUUUAGAACAAAGCCAAAGAUGAAACCAAAUAUAAAACCACUGAUGAAAACUAAGUGAAAAAUAUAAGCAAAAUAGAAGAAAAAUAAGGUCGUUAUUUCAAGAAAACGAAAGACAGUCAAUGCUGUUCUUUGUAUUCACAUACAAUUUGGUUCACACCAAAAUGUGAGUUGUUCUCUAUGAGAUGUUAUUAAAUGUUCCUAAGAAGACUCGCUUUAGAAAAAAACAGUAUUCCUAAGGCAUGUCCAAUCUGUCUCUUUUCUUAAUUGCUAUAGUUCUACUUUAUUAUUAUAAUGUAUUCAGCAUUAAAAUUCAUUAUUUCCC
rnacentral:lncRNA from 1 species